GAGGAAAAGAAACUAACAAGGAUUCCCCUUAGUAACUGCGAGUGAAGCGGGAAAAGCUCAAAUUUAAAAUCUGGCAGUCUUUGGCUGUCCGAGUUGUAAUCUAGAGAAGUAUUAUCCGCGCUGGACCGUGUACAAGUCUCCUGGAAUGGAGCGUCAUAGAGGGUGAGAAUCCCGUCUUUGACACGGACUGCCAGGGCUUUGUGAUAUGCUCUCAAAGAGUCGAGUUGUUUGGGAAUGCAGCUCAAAAUGGGUGGUAAAUUCCAUCUAAAGCUAAAUAUUGGCGAGAGACCGAUAGCGAACAAGUACCGUGAGGGAAAGAUGAAAAGAACUUUGGAAAGAGAGUUAAACAGUACGUGAAAUUGCUGAAAGGGAAACGCUUGAAGUCAGUCGCGUUGGCCAGGGAUCAACCUUGCUUUUGCUUGGCUUACUUUCUGGUCGAUGGGUCAGCAUCAAUUUUGACUGGUGGAAAAAGUUCAAGGGAAUGUGGCAUCUUCGGAUGUGUUAUAGCCUUUGUUCACAUACAUUGGUUGGGAUUGAGGAACUCAGCACGCCGCAAGGCCGGGUUUUUAACCACGUACGUGCUUAGGAUGCUGGCAUAAUGGCUUUAAUCGACCCGUCUUGAAACACGGACCAAGGAGUCUAACAUGCCUGCGAGUAUUUGGGUGAAAAACCCGAGUGCGUAAUGAAAGUGAAAGUUGAGAUCCCUGUCGUGGGGAGCAUUGACGCCCGGAUCUGACCUUUUGUGACGAUUCUGCGGUAGAGCAUGUAUGUUGGGACCCGAAAGAUGGUGAACUAUGCCUGAAUAGGGUGAAGCCAGAGGAAACUCUGGUGGAGGCUCGUAGCGAUUCUGACGUGCAAAUCGAUCGUCAAAUUUGGGUAUAGGGGCGAAAGACUAAUCGAACCAUCUAGUAGCUGGUCUGCG
rnacentral:rRNA from 1 species